CCGGGACGGAAACUGAGGUCGAAAGGAGGUGCUAGAAGCUUAAGGUCCACACGGCAUCCGACCCGGUGCCAGGAGCCCGUGUAGAGGAGAUGCGGUGAUGUACUUGAGACCGGACUCUGUAGAUCCCGGGAAAUGUUGGAGACUGGAUCGGGGCUAUGAUUCCUGCCUGGGGGAAGAGUUGAAGCCUAGAGCAGUAGAAUACCAAGUGGAGUCUUCAAGGCGCUGCUGCGCUUUGGCUCAAGCUGGAAAGUGUCGUAGGGUCUGAUCAGGUUGAGGAAAGUUGGGCCCUGCUCCCGGAGGGGCCGGGGAGGACCCCUCAGCUCUGGGUGUGAAUAUGUGCAGCUGCUCGGACCUUUUCUGGUCCUCCCAACAGGGAAGCUGAGGCAUCAUCUGGGGGUGCCGUCAGGUGGAAAGCUGGUGCUGCCCACCGCGCAUGGUCAUGGUGCGUGGUGAGCUCCAUCUCCUGGGAAAGACACUGUGCAUGUCUGUUGACAAGGGUAGGUCCUCCUUACUCAGCUGAUACCCUCACUGGUGACCUAGAGGCGUGUUUCCACUGGGAUUCUAAGCCUGCUCAGGUUGACAAUGAAGAUUAAUCAUCGCAAACCUCCGGCAGGUUUGAAGGAGCUGUGCAUCUCUCUCCGUGAGGCCUGCGAUCCAGCCUUUCUUGAGAGUUUCUGUCCUAGGCGAGAACUCCUGAACCCUUGCUGAUUCCCACCCCACAUCCCAUCAAAGCUCCCAGAAUUGAAAGCAGCCCAUGUGGUUCGUCUCCUAAGAACGACAAACACUAACAGGUACAAGGUCACCAGGUACCAAAUGGAGGAGCACAUAGGCAGGAAAUCAUCAUAACAAUUGAAGCGCCUACUAGGUGAAUCAUAGUAACAACUGUAAGUGCCUACUAGGUGCCACAUGCCAUUUAUACUUCUCCUGUACAACCACACUACCAGAAAGCUCCCACUGCUCCCAGCUUUUAGAGAGGGUCUGAGGUCUGCAGCCACUAAGCAGCACACACAGCAGGUGUACCUGGCCUCAGGGAGCUGAAGCCCACCCGGAUGAACUAGCUGUGGUCUUCCUGCCUCUUCUUUGACGGGGCAUGUGAUGGAAGACCCUCCACACAUUUUUGGGAAGAAAGUUAUACGUGCUGAGUUGGGUAUGAAAAAGGCAUCUGGAGUACAGCUGAAAUGAGCUCGAAAUAAAAUAGUCAAGCAAUAACAAAACCCAAAACAAAACAGAAGAGCCUUCCCUGAAAAGAAUUGCAGAUCCCAGACUGUGGGACUGUUGGAUCCAUUCUCUACUGGAUAGCUGCAUCCAAGCCACCAGAUUAAAUCUCAUCAACAUUGGUGCCGGAAAGUGACGGCUCUGCCUUACUCUAUCCUAUACACCUCCAGUCUUUCAAGGACAAGGAGAAUAACAGAGAUGCUAGACCUCUCACCAAAAUCAGUGAGCUAGGACCGGGAGAGCAGAGACCAAAACAUUCUGCUGACCCUCAGCGUAGGCUGAGCCCACGGCAUGGGGGAGAUUUCAACAUUUGCAAAACCAGAGGACUGUGUCUUCGGAUAUGAUUGAAAAUAGAAUUCCAUUUCUGAGCCCCGGAAGCAGAAGGACACUGAUGGGUGUGGCCAUCUCCAGUGUGUGUCUUUUGGGAUGAUCUGCACACCUUGGGCUUCUAGAAUGCAACUUAAACCCUGUCCUCCCUCAAGCUGACAGCUGUUUUGGAUGCCAGGGAAGUGCUGAUCCCUGUACUUAGCAACGAAUAGCCUAAGCUCUCAGCCCAUGAAAUCCAGGCUACUGGAAGCCCGGGACACAGACAGGAAACCCAUGGGGCUCUUGCACUGUUUUAAGCUCUCCAGAGACACUGUCCUUUGCCUGUUUCCCAUUGGACACACGGUCACAUUUUUCAAUGCAUGCCAGUUUCUAGGAACAGGGAAAUAGCAUUUCCAUCAAGACGCACAAUUAGGAAUAUAAAACAGUAUUUAAGGGCACAGCACGAGUCUUGAGUGUCCCUCAAAGAUCCUCGCCUUAAAGGCUUGCUCUCUAUAAUAAAUAAAACAAUGGUCCAUUUUUUCCAAAGGUGAUGUGAGUCAUCUCAGGUCGCAUUACAGAUGAACAGAAACACCGGACUCACGCUGCCUCCCACACUAAGCUAGUCUAGUCAUCCCCCCAACCCAAACUGAAAGUAAGUUCAGAGUAAAAUAACUAGCCUGCGAUGUCACAUAUCUGAUAAGCUUUAAAGUAAACAGGAUGCAGAAGGUAGGGAUGGACCCACACAGAGUCAUUGUUAGGAAUCAGGUAAACACGGGGAGCAGAAGGAAAGAGAAGACAAAGACAACGGGUAAGAUAGUGACUCCCACCCCUGUCCCCCACCUAUGACUCAGUCAGUGAAGAAAGGGAAGAAGGGACCAAAUAAAACUGGUCGUAAAAACUUGUUUCUGUGUUUGAUCAGCUUGAUUCUGAGCUGAAGCAUUGCCAUGAAAAGAAAAAACAAAAAAACAAAAAACAAAUAAAAAAAC